rnacentral:rRNA from 1 species
UACGUAGGGGGCAAGCGUUGUUCGGAUUUAUUGGGCGUAAAGAGCGUGUAGGCGGCCAGAUAGGUCAGCUGUGAAAACUCGAGGCUCAACCUCGAGACGUCGGUUGAAACCGUUUGGCUAGAGUCCGGAAGAGGAGAGUGGAAUUCCCGGUGUAGCGGUGAAAUGCGCAGAUAUCGGGAAGAACACCCGUGGCGAAGGCGGCUCUCUGGGACGGUACUGACGCUGAGACGCGAAAGCGUGGGGAGCGAACAGG